UACGUAGGGUGCAAGCGUUGUCCGGAAUUAUUGGGCGUAAAGAGCUCGUAGGCGGUUUGUCGCGUCUGCUGUGAAAACUGGAGGCUCAACCUCCAGCCUGCAGUGGGUACGGGCAGACUAGAGUGCGGUAGGGGAGAUUGGAAUUCCUGGUGUAGCGGUGGAAUGCGCAGAUAUCAGGAGGAACACCGAUGGCGAAGGCAGAUCUCUGGGCCGUAACUGACGCUGAGGAGCGAAAGCGUGGGUAGCAAACAGG
rnacentral:rRNA from 1 species